rnacentral:rRNA from 1 species
GAUGAACGCUGGCGGCGUGCUUAACACAUGCAAGUCGAACGGAAAGGCUCCUGCUUGCAGGGGUACUCGAGUGGCGAACGGGUGAGCAACACGUGGGUGAUCUGCCCUGCACUUCGGGAUAAGCCUGGGAAACUGGGUCUAAUACCGGAUAGGACGAUGGUUUGGAUGCCAUUGUGGAAAGUUUUUCGGUGUGGGAUGAGCUCGCGGCCUAUCAGCUUGUUGGUGGGGUAAUGGCCUACCAAGGCGUCGACGGGUAGCCGGCCUGAGAGGGUGUACGGCCACAUUGGGACUGAGAUACGGCCCAGACUCCUACGGGAGGCAGCAGUGGGGAAUAUUGCACAAUGGGCGCAAGCCUGAUGCAGCGACGCCGCGUGGGGGAUGACGGCCUUCGGGUUGUAAACUCCUUUCGCUAGGGACGAAGCGCAAGUGACGGUACCUGGAGAAGAAGCACCGGCUAACUACGUG